rnacentral:rRNA from 1 species
AGACGAACGCUGGCGGCGUGCUAAUACAUGCAAGUCGAACGCUUCUUUUUCCACCGGGAGCUUGCUCCACCGGAAAAAGAGGAGUGGCGAACGGGUGAGUAACACGUGGGUAACCUGCCCAUCAGAAGGGGAUAACACUUGGAAACAGGUGCUAAUACCGUAUAACAAUCGAAACCGCAUGGUUUUGAUUUGAAAGGCGCUUUCGGGUGUCGCUGAUGGAUGGACCCGCGGUGCAUUAGCUAGUUGGUGAGGUAACGGCUCACCAAGGCCACGAUGCAUAGCCGACCUGAGAGGGUGAUCGGCCACAUUGGGACUGAGACACGGCCCAAACUCCUACGGGAGGCAGCAGUAGGGAAUCUUCGGCAAUGGACGAAAGUCUGACCGAGCAACGCCGCGUGAGUGAAGAAGGUUUUCGGAUCGUAAAACUCUGUUGUUAGAGAAGAACAAGGAUGAGAGUAACUGUUCAUCCCUUGACGGUAUCUAACCAGAAAGCCACGGCUAACUACGUGCCAGCAGCCGCGGUAAUACGUAGGUGGCAAGCGUUGUCCGGAUUUAUUGGGCGUAAAGCGAGCGCAGGCGGUUUCUUAAGUCUGAUGUGAAAGCCCCCGGCUCAACCGGGGAGGGUCAUUGGAAACUGGGAGACUUGAGUGCAGAAGAGGAGAGUGGAAUUCCAUGUGUAGCGGUGAAAUGCGUAGAUAUAUGGAGGAACACCAGUGGCGAAGGCGGCUCUCUGGUCUGUAACUGACGCUGAGGCUCGAAAGCGUGGGGAGCAAACAGGAUUAGAUACCCUGGUAGUCCACGCCGUAAACGAUGAGUGCUAAGUGUUGGAGGGUUUCCGCCCUUCAGUGCUGCAGCUAACGCAUUAAGCACUCC